CGGAGUCCGCGGCCGCUGUUCGUUGUUAGUCAACAGUGCUAACCACGUCAGGGAGGAAAUAUUUCAACGUCUCUCGCAGUCCGUUUAAAGCCGACACAUCAGGCGACAGCAGGAGUGCCGAGACGUUAUCCGCUUCAUUUCCACGAACCAGCGAAUCCACUCAGCUGGAGCGGUAAAGCAGAGCCAUGCGUGCGGAGAUCGCAGCGCCCUUGCUGCUCCUGGCCUUCUCCUUCUGCUGCUGCCAUUCCCAGUCUCUACUCCAGCUAAAAGCAUCCAACACCAGAUCGAAAGGGAAGACGGCACGCUUUCGCUGCGUCAUUAACACCGCGAAUGAUUUCGACAAACUGGAGGUGCAUUGGUACCGAAACGCCGUGAGCGGAGGCAUGCAGCGCAUCCUGUACAUCAGCGUGAAAUCCGAGCCAGUUAGGGACACGGGCUUCGGCGACAAAUACUUCGCUGAGAAUUUGUCGAAGGAGAAGGCGAGCCUGUUGGACAUCAGAGACAUAGACGAGAGCGACGCGGGGGUCUACUACUGUGCUCAUUGGAAGAGCACAGUGACACAACGCCGCGGGAGCACAGAUCAAAUACUCAGCGCCGAGCCGAGGCUGCAGCUUGCCACACUAUGUUGCUGUGUUGUUACUGUCGCUCGAGUCAGGUUAAGCCGGCUGUCCAUUAUUCCCGUCUCAAUUGUUCAAUCCAAUUACCAAUUCAGGUUCCAGAGAUUUGAGAGGGAGAACCGCAUGCCGCCGAGACGCUGCCAUAUAUUAACCCUGGAAACUGGACAGAGGCCUAAAUAA